UUUGGGAGAAAAAUAAAAAUUCUCAGUUCUGCAGCAGCUGCUGUAUCUGAGGUGAUCUCCAGUAAAGGUCUCCUUCCGUCCCCAGUACUAAAGGGAAAGUGCUCAGUGCUGAAAAAGGCUCCAGUCCAACAAGCAACACUGGGAAUUGUGCAUCAUCUGCAGUAUCCAUUUGUCACCCUCCUUGAAGUCUUGACAUGCUCUCCAGGGGUCCUGCAAUGGCUCUUGAAGCCACCAAGGGUCAAGGGAACCCCUCUGAGGUCCGUGGAAGAUGCACAGCUGAUCCACACAUCCUCACGAAGCAGCAGGAUCCCUGCACGUGCCAUAGCCUGUCCUGGUCCCUGGGAGGGUUGGGACCACAGCUCCAUCCUGACAGUGCUGCUGCUGCUGCUGCUGCCUUCAGGGGUUGUUCCUGAUUCCUGUGCCCCAGCUGGGCUCAGGUAUGCUGUUGUGUACCUACAUCUCCUCGCAAUAACAGAGCAAUAAAACUGCAAGAUGCCUACAAUCUGUUUGUAAUCUCCAGAAUAUCACCUCCUGCAUCCUGUGACUAAAGGAUUUAAAUACUUCUGCACUCAGAGCAGCUAAAACUUUCCUGAAGCUCAAUUGCCAAGUGAGCAGUUUGAGUUUUGCAGAGGCUGUAAAGCCUUUUUUCCCCAACAAUGCAGCUUUUGUCCCUUUCUUUUGUUUGUUUUGUUUUAUUUGUUUUGGUUUUGGUUUUUCCCUUUUGUUCACUUCUCUAUCCAGGGAGCCUUUUGUUCAAAGCUCAUCUCAAGGAUUUCCAGAGCCCUAGGCUACUCCAGGUUACAGCUAUCCUGGAGGCUCUAGAUGAAAUGCUUUGCAGCUAAAUUGUGAACAGCACCUGACUUGUUCUGUGUUACAGAUGGAGAGACACUGUUAAAUUAGGUAUGUGUUUUCCAGUCCAUCCAGGUGUCUUUUCCAGCUGCAGCACUCUUAAUCUGAGGUGGGAAGCUCGUAUGAGCUGUGAAUACAUUUAUUACAGAACAAUAGUAAUGGGAUAUGUAGAAUAUGCAGACAAUAAAAAGAUGGACACUUUCUAACUGCUGUUGGCA
rnacentral:lncRNA from 1 species